CUCCGCCCCUCCUUCUCCCCACCCCUGGUCCUAGCCCAUAGCCUGGUGGGGUGGUCCUGGGAGCCAGCCACCUGGUACCCAGGCCUGGGGAAGCCCACCCCACCAGGGGAAGCCACAAGGAAAAGUCGAUGGGAGAAGGCCAGCGAGUACAGCGGUGAUUGACAACGUCGUGGAAGGGUGACGCGGUGAGGGGAAUUCCAGCAAAAUCCAAGUGGGAGAACCAGCAGCCACAUUCCACGGACAAAGAGCGGGUCCCCGUGACACAGCAACGCAGUGACCCCCAGCUCGGUCCUUCAACUGGGCAGGACAGAGGGGCAAAGGCCCUUACUGCGGGAGGACAGAGGGCGCCCCAGAUCUGUGGAAGUGGACAAUCUGCCAUUUGCCGUCCCGGCGGUGCCAGAUGCGGGUCUCCUCGGACUGGGCCGUGCGGGGGAUGCCGCCGGCGUCCAGAUACUGCGUGAUGCGAAUGUAGGCGAUGCAGGCUGACUCGUCACCCAUCAGGUGGAUGUGGGGGUUCAGGAUGGUGGUGUGCACGGGCUUGCUGUUCCUGGACCACACUGGAGGCGGGGUGGGAGGAGGGGGGCAAGAGGGAGCAGAGGAGAUGCAAUUGGGGGCCUCCUCCUCACUUUCUUCACCUUCCCCACUUCCAAGGACCCACUCAACUGAGGCACUUCUGAGGUAUUCAGAGAAGGGGUUUCUGUGACAGCGCUCAGGUACCAGGCAGCCAAGGCAGAGCUUCUAGGUGAUGGAACCACCCCUCCCAGCUUAGAUACAAUGGAUUUCAGACACCUUGAAUUCUUCAAACUUAAGCAGUAACCAGUUGCCAUAGAGACAACUCCAACUCAGGGUGACCCCAUAUGUGUCAGAGUAAAACUGUGCUCCACGGGGUUUUCAAGGGCUGAGUUUUUGGAAGUAGGUGGCCAGGCCUUUCUUCCAAGUCACCUCCAAUGUUUCUGGUUAGCAGCUGAGCGUGUUAACCCUCUGCACCUCUUCAAUCUUACUGGAAUGGAAUUUUAGAAUCAUUUUAUCUUACACAUAGAAGUACAGGACCAAGAUGACUUCAGAAGCAGAUGGGCUUAGUUAGACCACAGUCUCAAACACAAAUCUUUAUAGGAGCCAAGCAGAUACAUAAACAAGGGAGGUAAACUAGGUAUAAGAUGCUAAAUGACAGCUGACCCUUUGCCUCUGGGUUAGGGAGGCAAUAGAGAGUGGUGGGGACUGUGGUGAAUAGAGCACCAUGUCCCAUCUAAAGAGGAUGCCUUGUGCACAACCUCGCAGUGGUUACUGUGUGAGUAAGUGGGACUGGUGUUGCCAGAUCUUCUGAUUUUCAAGAAAAUCUGAAAACUUGGAUUUUUGUGUGAAACCCCUCAUUUUAAUUAUGGGCAUCUAAUUUGGAUUUACCAGCAUCUGUCUGUCCUUUUGUCAAACUGUGGUGGCUUGUGUGUUGCUGUGAUACUGGAAGCUAUGCCACCAGUAUUCCAAAUACCAGCAGGGUCAUCCGUGGUGGAUAGGUUUCAGUGGAGCUUCCAGCCUAAGACAGACUAGGAAGAAGGAUUGGGCAAUCUACUUCUGAAAAAAUUGACCAGUGAAAGCUUUAUGAAUACCAGUGUAAUAUUGUCUGAUAUAGUGCCAGAAGAUGAGCCCCUCAGGUUGGAAGGCACUCAAAAUACAACUGUGGAAGAGCUGCCUCCUGAAAGUAGAGCCAACCAGACGUGGAUGGAGUAAAGCUUUCCGGACCUUCAUUUGCUGAUGUGGCAUGACUUAAAAUGAGAAGAAACAGCUGCAAACAUCCAUUAAUAACUGGAACGUGGAAUGUAUGAAGUAUAAAUCUAGGAAAGCUGGAAGUCAUUAAAAAUUAAAUAGAACACAUGAAGAUCAAUAUCCUAGGCAUUAGUGAGCUGAAAUGGACUGGUAUUGGCCAUUUUGAAUCAAAUAAUCAUAUGGUCUACUUGCUGCGAAUGACAAAUUGAAGAGGAAUGGUGUUACAUUCAUUGUAAAAAGAACAUUUCAAGCUCUAUCCUAAAGUACAACACUGUCAAUAAUAGAAUAAUAUCUAUACGAGUUCAAGAAAAAUCAAUUAAUACAACUAUUAUUCAAAUUUAUCCACCAACCACUAAAGCCAAAGAUAAAGACUUUUACCAACCUUUGCAGUUUGAAGUUGAUCAAAUAUGCAAUCAAGAUGCAUUGGUAAUUAUGGGUGAUUGGAAUGUGGAAGUUGGAAACAAAGAGGAAGGAUUAGUAAAGGGAAAAUAUAGCCUUGGUGAUAGAAUUUUGCAAGACCAACUACCUAUUCAUUGGAAAUACCUUUUUUAAACAAGAGAAAUGGCGACUGUACAUGUGGAGCUCACCAGAUGGAAUACAUAGGAAUCACUACAUCUGUGGAAAGAGACAAUGGACAAACUCAUUAUCAUCAGUCAGAGCAAGGCCAGGGGUCAACCGCAGAACAGGCCAUCAAUUGCUCAUAUGCAAGUUCAAGUUGAAGCUGCAGAAAAUCGAAACAAGUCCACGAGAGCCAAAGUACAACCUCGAGUAUAUCCCACCUGAGUUUAGAGACCAUCUCAAGAAUAGAUUUGAUGCAUUGAACGCUCAUGACCAGAAGACUUGUGGGAUGACAUCAAGGACAUCAUACAUGAAGAAAGCAGGUCAUUAAAAAGAUGGGAAAGAAAGAAAAGACCAAAAUGAGCAUCAGAAGAGACUCUGGAACUUUCUCUUGAGCGUAGAGCAGAUAAAGUGAACAGAAGAAAUGAUGACAAGCUGAACAGAAGAUUUCAAAGAGCAGCUCGAGAUGGCAAAGUAUUAUAAUGACAUAUGCAAAGACCUGGAGUUAGAAAACCGAAAGAGAAGAACAUGCUCAGCAUUUCUCAAACUGAAAGAUAAAAUUCAAGCCUCGAGUUACAAUACUGAAGGAUUCCAUGGGCUAAAUAUUGAAUGAUGAAGGAAUCAUCAAAAGAACAUAGAAGGAAUACACAGGGUCUGUACCAAAAAGGAUUGGUCAAAGUUCAGCCAUUUCAGAAGGUAGCAUAUAAUCAAGAACCAAUGGUAUUGAAGGAAGAAGUGCAACCUGCAGUGAAGGUACUGGUGAAAAACAAGGCUCCAGGAAUUGACAGAAUACCAACUGAGAUGUUUCAACAAACAGACGCUCCGCUUCACUUAUCUAUGCCAAGAAAUUUGGAAAACAGCUACCUGGCCAACUGACCGGAAGAGAGCCAUAUAUGUGCCCAUUCCAAAGAAAGGUGAUUCCACAGAAUGCGGAAAUUAUCGAAUAAUAUCAUUAAUAUCACAUGCAAGUAAAAUCUUGCUGAAGAUAAUUCAAAAACAGUUGUAGUAAUACAUUAACAGGGAACUGCCAGAAAUUCAAGCCGGAUUCAGAAGAGGACUUGGAGCAAGGGAUAGCAUUGCUGAUAUCCGAUGGAUCUUGGCUAAAAGCAGAGAAUACCAGAAAGAUGUUUACCUGUGUUUUAUUGACUAUGCGAAGACAUUCAACUGUGUGGAUCAUAACAAAUUAUGGAUAACAUUGUAAUGAGUGAGAAUUCCAGAACACUUACUUGUGCUCACACAGAACCUGUACAUAGAACAAGAGACCGUUGUUCAAACAGAAUAAGGGGAUAUUGUGUGGUUUAAAAUCAGGUAAGGUGUGUGUGAGGGUUGCAUCCUUUCACCAUAUUUAUUCAGUCUUUAUGCUGAACAAGUAAUCUGAGACGCUGGACUAUAUGAAGAAGAAGAGGGCAUCAGGACUGGAGGAAGACUCAUUAACAACCUGAGAUAUGUAGAUGACACAGCCUUGCUUACUGAAAGUGAAGAGGACUUGAAACACUCACUGAUGAAAAUUAAAGACUAUAGUCUUCAGUACGGAUUACGCCUCAACAUAGAGAAAACAAAAAUCCUCACAACUAGACCAAUAAUCAAGAUCAUGAUAAACAAAAAAAGAUUGAAGUUGUCAAGGAUUUCAUUUUACUUGGUUCUACAAUCAACACCCAUGGAAGAAGCAGUCAAGAAAUCAAAUGACGUUUUGCUUUGGGCAGAUCUUCUGCCAAAGGACUCUAAAGUGUUAAAAAGCAACGAUGUCACUUUAAUGACUAAAGUGCUCCUGACCCAAGCCAUGGUGUUUUCAAUCACCCCAUAUGCAUGUGAAAGCAUAUAGAGUCAUAUAGAGUUACUAUGAGUCAGAAUCAACUCAAUAGCAGUGGGUACAGGUAAUUUGAAUUUAAAGCAUCAUGCAGGCCACAUGAGCAUGUCUACAGUCCAGACAAAGUCUGUGGGCCCCCAUUUGUCACCUCUACUGUAGACAUAGAAUUAUGAAAACCUGGGGAAUACCAGAACUACAGAAUCUGAGAACCUUGGAAUUAGAAGGAUGGUAUUAGUGGUGGUGGGGUGAGGUCACAGAACUUCCCAGAGUUAGGGGGAGUCAUAACAGAACUGACAAAACUAUCUGAAAUCAGCUUCCCUGAUGUAAACUAUGGGAAAGCCUGGUGGCUAGUGGUUAAAAGCUACAGUUGCUAACCAAAAGGUCAGUGGUUCGAAUCCACCAGGCACUCCAUAUGGGGCAGUUCUGCUCUGUCCUAUAGGGUUGCUAUGAGUCGGAAUUGACUCAACGGCAACGGGUUUUGGUUUUGGAUGUCAAUUAUGAGCCAUCAUUUUUGUUCUUGUUGUUGUUCUGAGAAGUUUCCAUUUUUCAUUAAGAUAGAAAACAAAAACACAGAAAGACUAUGCCCCAGGAAGGGGCUGAAUAGGGGCCACCAGGGUCUCCGGCUCAGGAGAAACCCUCAUAUCUUCCCUUAAUCCAUCAACGCCGACACAGUUGCCACUCAUAGCCACCCACAGGACAGAGUAGAACUGCCCCUUAAGGUUUCCAAGGCUGUAAUCUUUACGGAAGCAGACUACCGCAUCUUUCUCCCGUGGAGCAGCUGGUAAGUUCAAACUGCCAACCUUUCAGUUAGCAGCCAAGUGCUUAACCACUGCACCACCAGGGCCUCCCUUAGUGUAGCCGAAAUGUAGAUCUAAACCAUGUGGAAAGCCGAUUUAAAACGCAGAUUCUCCAACCCCACCCCUAGAGACUCUAAUGCAAGGAUCUGUAAUAUUGGAAAACCCCCUUUCCUUUCUACCCUGAUUCUGACACAGUCAGGUCUGUGAGCAGCCAAGUUCCUGGAAAACGUAAAAAAAAAAUUUUUUUAGAACUGCCAGAAGUGCCAAAUAACACCUGUCCCCUAACGUUAUAAUCAUGUUACACCCAGGCUUUGGAUAAAGGACUUAAAAUCACCAAGUCUUGGACAUGUAGAAUAACAUACAUAGAAUUCUGGACUCUCGGAUGUAUAGACUAUAGAGCUUUUGCAUCAUGGGCCGGGAGUGACCUCAGAGGUCAGAGAUCACACAGUGGCCCUCCUCCAAAAUGCAGGAAGGCCUUCCUUAAGCAUUCCCAACAGCGCCUAGGACUGGAAGCACUCAAGACCAUCUGUAUCAAUGUACCCACUUAGCAGAUAUGGAAACUGAGGCCCAGAGAAGCAAUCGGACCCAUUCCAGAUCACACACAACACCUGUGCCCAUUCCUGAAAGAGAUGCAACUGAACCUGAAAGAAACCUGUCUCUAGGUAGAACAGGCUUAGAACAGUCCCAGGAGGAGCAGCCACAGCUCAGCAUUGCUGGGGGGUGUCACGGAUUGAAUUGUGUCCCCCAGAAAUAUGGGUCAACUUGGUUAGGCCCGGAUUCCCAGUAUUGUGUGGUUGUCCUCCAUUUUGUGAUCGUAAUUUUAUGUUGAAGAGGAUUAGGAUGGGAUUGUAACACCCUUACUCAGGUCACCUCCCUGAUCCAAUGUAAGGGGAGUUUCCUGUGGGCUGCACCACCUUUUAUCUCUCAAGAGAUGAAAGGGAAGCAAGCAGAGAGUUUGGGACCUCAUGUCACCAAGAAAGAAGCACCAGGUGCAGAGCGCAUCCUUUGGACCCAGGGUUCCUGUGCAGAGAAGCUCCUUGACCAGGGGAAGAUUGAUGACAAGGACCUUCCUUCAGAGCUGACAGAAACAGAAAGACUUCCUCUGGAGCUGACACCCUGAAUUUGGACUUCUAGCCUACUAGACUGUGAGAGAAUAAAUUUCUCUUUGUUAAAAACAUCACUUGUGGUAUUUCUGUUAUAGCGGCACUAGAUAACUAAGACAGGCGGCCUGGGCCUUGCUGCGGUCAGUGAGGACUGGAGGCCUGAGGGACAUUUGUAAAGAAACAACCACCUAAUGUGGCCACCUCUUGCACACUUUCAGUAGGAUUCUCCUGGUGGAUAAGGUGGCAGGAAGAGCCAGGUCCUCAAGCAGGAAAAAUUAGAAAGCUGGAAGGUGGGAC